rnacentral:lncRNA from 1 species
CAGCAGCAUUAAAACAGACUAAUACAUCUCCUAUUCUAUUUUUUGCAAAAACUUGAGAGGAAGUGGUGUUAAUUCUUUAGAUCUUUAGUAGAAUUUAUCAUUGAAAGCAUCUUGUCUUAGGCUUUUCUUUGUUGGAAGUUUUUAUUAUUAUCUUUACUAUUUACUACAUCUAUUUAAAUAGAUCUUGUAAUCAGUACUGGUCAUGUUUUUCUUUGUCCCUUGUAACAAAUUUGACUUAAAGUCUAGUUUGCCUGGUAUUAGUAUAGCCACUCUGGCUCAGUAUAGUCACUCAUGGAAUAUGUUUUUCAUACUUCGGUUUACAAACUACUUGUGUCUUUAUAUUUAAAGUGAAUCUCUGACAAACAGCAUAUAGUUGGAUUAUUUUAGCUCAUCUUAUGAAGGUAUCUUUUAAUUAUAGAGUUUAAUAUAUCUAAAAUGUAAUUAAUUAUAAUGAAUAUAAUUAUUAAUAAGGAAUAAGUUAUUUUUCCCAUUUUGUUAUUUGCUUUCUAUAUCUUGUACUUUUAUUUUUGUCUCACAACACAUCCCUUGCUGCCUUCUCUUAUGUUAGAUAACUAUUUUAAGUGUUCCAUUUUAAUUCCUUUCUUAUUACCUUUACUAAAUGAUUUCUGGUUAUUUCUUAGUGGAUCCUUUGGAGAUUACAAAAGAAAUCCUAAUUUAUAACAACAUUAUUAUAUCAUUUGAAUUAAUGUCAUAUAGUGUACACUAGUUACUUUCUUCCUGUCUCCCCUUUAUUGAUUUUUAAUUUUAUAUUUACCUGUGUAGUUGCCUUUUGUGUGGAUUGCCUUUAUUCUUUUGUGUGGAUUUCAGCUACAGCCUAGUGUACUUUCACUUUAGUUUAAAGGACUCCUUUUAGUAUUUCUUAUAAGGCAUAUCUACCAGAAACACACUUUUAGUUUGUGUGUCUGUGGGAAUAUCUUACUUCCUUCUUCAUUUGUGAAGUCGGUUUUAGCCAAAUACAGAAUUCUUUGUUGAUUUUUUUUUUCCUUUCAGCGCUUUAAAUAUGCCUUCCCACAGUCUUCUGGCUUUCAUAGUUUUUUUUUUUUUUUUUUUUUUUUUUUUUUUUUUAAUGAGAAUUCAGCUGUUAAUCUUAUGGUGAAUCCCUUGUAUAUGAUGAGUCUCUGCUCUCUUGCUGGUUUUAGGUUUCUUUUUGGGUUUAUUUUCAGUUUUGAUCUUUUUGCGUUUAUGCACCUUGACAUUAAUUAAGUUUCUUGUAUAUGCAGAUUCAGGUAUUUCACCAAAUCUGAGAAAUUCAGUCAUUAUUUCUUUCUUUCUUUUUCUUUUUUAGCCACCACACCUGGCCUAGUUCUUUAAAUAUUCCUUCUGCCGCUUUUUUUUUUUUUCGUCUCUCCUCUCUUCCUAGAACUAACAUUAUGGAUAUUUUUGUAUGCUUGGUAUCCCACAGGUUUCUUAGGCUCUCUAUUUUUCUUUAUUAUUUUUCCUUUAUGGUCCUCUGACCUGGGAAUCUCAUUUGAUCUACCUUCAAAUCUUCCCUAUACCUUUUCAAAUCUUCUGAAUUCCUCUGGUGAAUUUUUUAUUUUAGUUAUAUUUUUCUACACCAGAAUUUCUAUUUGGUUUCUUUUCAAAAUUUCUAUCUGUUUAUGGGUAUUCUCUGCUUGGUGAGACAUUGUUCUGAUGACUUCCUUUAUUUGUUUGUCUAUGAUUUUCUUCAGCCAUGUUAGUAUAUUUAAAAUAGUUGAUUA